CCUGGGAGACAACGAGCAGAGACACAAGCCCUUCCUCGCCACCUUCCACAACUGACGAGCCCACGUGGGAAGUCCACACAGGCCCUCUCUACAGGUGGGCGCAGACGCUGCAUGGGCCUGGGAGGAGCAGAGGCUUGGUCUGGCCCUCAGGAGACGUGCACUCUUCCCAGAGCUGUCCUCCAGACGCCACCAGGACAAGAGGGAAGCUACGUCUCCCGCCAAGGUCUCAACAGCAACGCUCCUGACGUUUUGGGCCAGGGAGAGUGUGACUCCACCCCAGGCAUGAGCCAUCCUAACUCAGAGACCCUAACAAGCAUCCUGUAGUCCUUCUGGCACACACAAGACGUAAACAUGGCCUCCCUAUCGAACAAAGAUGACCUUCGACUGCUAACACAUAAGAAAUGCUGAGGAACAGUGGACUAAGGCCAGCCAUUCUACGCAUACUGAAAAAUGGAACAGAGGAAAAAUAACCCUGAACUU